rnacentral:lncRNA from 1 species
CAGUAAGCAGGCUAUGUCCAUGGGAUGCUAUAUUUACCUGCAGAGAGAUCCUUCUGUGUCCUAGAGGUUUGUGUGCUCUGACUGCUGUAACUUUCUGUACAGAGCCGUGGUGAACUGCCACUCCUGCUUUGCCAUCUCUCUAAGGGAGUUCUUUGAUUUUCAUUAACAACUCUGCCACCAUCCCAUUCAUAAUUCAAUCAAAACUCCUGGGAUGGCAGCUGUCAUAGUGGUGCUUAUGACCACUUGUUUCAAUGUUCUCACUGAACCUGGAGUGUACGAGAAAGUGCAGGCAUGACCUAGUGGCCAGCCUUCCUGGCACGCUAUACUUCUAACUAAGAAGCAUGGCACCCCAUGCUACUGAGUAUUCCCAGAAGCCUCAACUCUGAAUUCUGUAGUAAUGGAAAAUGGUGAUGAAAAACUAUAGGUUCCAUAAAAAUUGAAACAAAUCUUAUAUGAAUAAGAGAAGUGUCUACAUGAGAGGCUGGCUCAUAGGAGGAAGGGAUGCAGAAGGAAAGCAAUCCAGAUGACACAGAAACCUGAAACCCCUGCAUGCAGACAGCUCAACAUACUGGCUGAAGAAAAAAAAAAAAAAAAAACAGAUCAUUCCUCAGCCGGGCAGGCUGGAAAAGCUUCAGUUUACCUUCUGAUUUUCAUAUGAGCUAUCCAAUUUAUAUAUUAGUAUCUCUCUUGAGUUCAAUUUUAUUAAGUUGAUUGGAAUGUCAAAUCAUGUUUUCACCUCAACUUCUCCAAACUAGGAACCUGAUUCAGUGACCGGACACUAAACAACUAGUUGUUCAGGUCCAAAUUGAUCAUCAUAUCCUAUUAAAAUAUACAAAGAAUUUUCAACUGAGGAAUAUCAAAUGACUGAGAAGCACCUAAAGAAUUGUUCAACAUCACCUAGUCAUCAGGGAAAUGAAAAUUAAAACAACGCUGAGAUUGCACCUCACACCAGUCAGAAUGGCUAAGAUCACAAAUAUGCUAAUGAAAGAAUUUUAACUGAAUCAUCUCUCAUACUACUAGUACACUAAUCUCUUGGACUUCUUCAGCAGUAUAAUCAGCAAUCUAAUAAUUAUCUAUGGACCUGCUCUUAGCUCCCAGUUCAUCCUACAUUCUCUACUUUGAAUUUAAAUUUGAAUAUUUAAAUUCUUAUCCAAAAUCAAUUUGUGUUUUUUUUUUCAAAAAUCAUGGAAUGAAACUUAGCUUCUUAUUGU